rnacentral:rRNA from 1 species
GUGGGGAAUAUUGCACAAUGGGCGAAAGCCUGAUGCAGCGACGCCGCGUGGGGGAUGACGGUCUUCGGAUUGUAAACCCCUUUCAGUAGGGACGAAGCGCAAGUGACGGUACCUGCAGAAGAAGCACCGGCCAACUACGUGCCAGCAGCCGCGGUAAUACGUAGGGUGCGAGCGUUGUCCGGAAUUACUGGGCGUAAAGAGCUCGUAGGCGGUUUGUCGCGUCGUCCGUGAAAACUCGGAGCUUAACUCCGAGCUUGCGGGCGAUACGGGCAGACUUGAGUACUACAGGGGAGACUGGAAUUCCUGGUGUAGCGGUGAAAUGCGCAGAUAUCAGGAGGAACACCGGUGGCGAAGGCGGGUCUCUGGGUAGUAACUGACGCUGAGGAGCGAAAGCAUGGGUAGCGAACAGGAUUAGAAACCCUAGUAGUCC